rnacentral:sRNA from 1 species
ACACGUGCGGGCUGGGCCAGUCCCACCAACACCUGCUGACCCUUAACUCUGCACAGCUUCCCGAGCCGCUCAUCUCCUUUCGCCUCUACCACGAGCUCGUAGGGCUGGCCAAGGACAGCCUGAAGGCAGAGGCUGAGGCCAAGGCGGCGUCCCGGGGCCGGCAGGACAGCUCGGAGAGCGAGGCAGUGGCGGUGGCCAUGGCAGGUCGGCUGCGGGAGCUCCUGCGGGACCUGCCGCCUGAGAACCGGGCCUCGCUGCAGUACCUGCUGCGGCACCUGCGCAGGUGAGUCCCGGCAUAUGGGGUGGAGAGCGCGGGGUUCCGGGAGCCGCUCAGCACCUGGCCCCUGCCCACCCCGCAGGAUCGUGGAGGUGGAGCAGGACAACAAGAUGACCCCCGGGAACCUGGGCAUCGUGUUCGGGCCCACGCUGCUUCGGCCACGGCCCACUGAGGCCACCGUGUCCCUCUCCUCCCUGGUGGAUUACCCCCACCAGGCCCGCGUCAUCGAGACUCUCAUCGUCCACUACGGUCUGGUCUUCGAGGAGGAGCCGGAGAUCAUCCCCGGGGGCCAGGACGAGUCAUCCAACCAGCGAGCCGAGGUAGUCGUCCAGGUGCCGUACCUGGAGGCGGGCGAGGGGGUGGUCUACCCCCUGCAGGAGGCGGCAGAGGACGGGUGCAGAGAAUCCCGAGUUGUGUCCAACGAUUCAGACUCGGACCUAGAGGAGGCCUCCGAGCUGUUGUCCUCAUCGGAGGCCAGUGCCCUGUGCCGUCUCAGCUUCCUGGAGCAGCAGCAGAGCGAGGCCAGCCUAGAAGAGGCUUCUGGCAGCCACAGCGGCAGUGAGGAGCAGCUGGAGACCACGGCCCGGGAGGAUGGGGACGGGGACGAGGACAGCCCGGCCCAGCAGCUUUCAGGAUUCAAUACCAACCAGUCCAACAACGUGCUGCAGACCCCACUGCCCCCUAUGAGGCUCCGUGGCGGGCGGAUCACGCUGGGCUCCUGCAGGGAGAGGCAGCCGGA